GAUGAACGCUGGCGGCGUGCCUAAUACAUGCAAGUCGAGCGAACAGAUAAGGAGCUUGCUCCUUUGACGUUAGCGGCGGACGGGUGAGUAACACGUGGGUAACCUACCUACAAGACUGGGAUAACUUCGGGAAACCGGAGCUAAUACCGGAUAACAUUUGGAACCGCAUGGUUCUAAAGUGAAAGAUGGUUUUGCUAUCACUUAUAGAUGGACCCGCGCCGUAUUAGCUAGUUGGUAAGGUAACGGCUUACCAAGGCGACGAUACGUAGCCGACCUGAGAGGGUGAUCGGCCACACUGGAACUGAGACACGGUCCAGACUCCUACGGGAGGCAGCAGUAGGGAAUCUUCCGCAAUGGGCGAAAGCCUGACGGAGCAACGCCGCGUGAGUGAUGAAGGGUUUCGGCUCGUAAAACUCUGUUAUUAGGGAAGAACAAAUGUGUAAGUAACUGUGCACGUCUUGACGGUACCUAAUCAGAAAGCCACGGCUAACUACGUG
rnacentral:rRNA from 1 species